rnacentral:lncRNA from 1 species
CAAGGCGCAGGGGCUCUGCGGCUGCAGGCCUGGUUGGUCACCCUGUCUGCAUCUGCUGGAUACCCACCCCCUCCAGAGACGGGGCUCACUGCCGCCACGGCAGGUCCCCAGGGGCGAGGUCUUCCGGCCCCACCGGUGGCACCUGAAGCACCUGGAGCCCGUGGAUUUCCUGGGCAAGGCCAAGGUGGUGGCCUCUGCCAUCCCCGACGACCAGGGCUGGGGCGUCCGCCCUCAGCAGCCACAGGGACCAGGAGCGAACCAUGAUGCCAGGUCCCUAAUCAUGGACUCCCCAAGAGCUGGCACCCACCAGGGCCCCCUAGAUGCAGAGACAGAGGUCGGUGCUGACCGCUGCACGUCGACUGCCUACCAGGAGCAGGUGCGUGGGCCUGGGCCUCUUCCCCUGCUGGGGGUCGGUGCUUCUGCUGCCUCCGCAGACUGGGGACCACAAUGGGACCAACAUGAGGUGGACAGAGCUGGACAGAGC